rnacentral:misc_RNA from 1 species
GAUGAAGAACGCAGCGAAAUGUGAUAAGUAGUGUGAAUUGCAGAAUUCAGUGAAUCAUCGAAUCUUUGAACGCACAUUGCGCCCCUUGGUAUCCCGAGGGGCAUGCCUGUUCGAGCGUCAUUUCACCACUCAAGCCUGGCUUGGUGUUGGGCGACGUCCCCUUUGGGGACGCGCCUUGAAACGCUCGGCGGCGUGGCACCGGCUUUAAGCGUAGCAGAAUCUUUCGCUUUGGAAGUCGGGGCCCCGUCUGCCGGAAGACCUACUCGCAAGGUUGACCUCGGAUCAGGCAGGGAUACCCGCUGAACUUAAGCAUAUCAAUAAGCGGAGGA